UACCGUGGGUCAGAUUCACAGAGCACGCGCCCCUGUGGGCUGGCUUUACUUGGGCACUAAUUCUUGGAGCUGUGACGAAGGAGAAAGUCGGAGGCAGGGAGGAGCACGCUGGCCCCUCCACUCAGAAAAUUCUCGCUCACCACAGUUUAAGGACAAGAAGCACAAAUAAUGCUGCAAGGUAAGAAAACACUGCAGCGGGGCCAGCGGAACUCUAAUGACCAGCGGCUACCCCCGAACUGGCCCCUGGGGCUUGCAGACACCAGUCACGUCUCCACUAAUGGCUCCUCUGUGUCUUGAAGUGGCAGGUGACACCUGUACGGUUGAGGGAGAAAGUGAAUUCUUCCGGGUGAGACGAUUCCUGCAAGUGAACGGGAACCAAACCAGAGGCCAGCGUGCUGGCUCCAGCUUGUGAGGCCGCGGCCGGUCCCUGCGGGGAGGCAGGGAACACCGGCGAGUGGCCUCCCUCCCCAGACACAUCAGCUCUGUCACCUCCAGGCCACGUCCCUGAGACAGCCCUUCCUGGGAAACAGAGCGGCCACCAGCCCUCGGACAUCUCACAGCUGGGAAGCAGCGAAGGCUGUGGCGCAAAGACUCUGGUCUCAGCCACGUCAGCUUGUUCGCUCGUCCUCGGGACACGCUCCACAGGAUGCCUGCCCACGUGCCUGCCUGCCCACCCGGGACACUGCCUGACAGUGGACACGCCCUGCUCCUCCUGUUCAUCGGUCGCUCAUUCUGGGGAAAGUCGCCUGCCGUUCGAAACUCUGGAAACCUACUGAGAGGCCCAUGAGGUGGCCUGAGGGGGCUGAUGGAGACAAUAAAGAAUGGAUUUAAGUCCUCCACAGGGGGCACCCUUGGGAGACCACAGGGAAGCCGGGCUGUCCCGCGGUGCGCACACCACGUUGGGGUAACAAGACCUUGCAGCUUGGCACCCGCCCCUUCACGAAA